CCUACGGGGGGCAGCAGUGAGGAAUAUUGGUCAAUGGGCGGAAGCCUGAACCAGCCAAGUAGCGUGCAGGAUGACGGCCCUACGGGUUGUAAACUGCUUUUAUACGGGAAUAACGCGCCUUACGUGUAGGGCUUUGCAUGUACCGUAUGAAUAAGGACCGGCUAAUUCCGUGCCAGCAGCCGCGGUAAUACGGAAGGUCCGGGCGUUAUCCGGAUUUAUUGGGUUUAAAGGGAGCGUAGGCCGCAUGUCAAGCGUGCUGUGAAAUGUCCGGGCUCAACCCGGGCCUUGCAGCGCGAACUGGCGUGCUUGAGUCCGCGGAAAGCAGGCGGAAUUCGUCGUGUAGCGGUGAAAUGCUUAGAUAUGACGAAGAACACCGAUUGCGAAGGCAGCUUGCUAGGCCGGAUCUGACACUGAUGCACGAAAGCGUGGGGAUCGAACAGGAUUAGAUACCCUUGUAGUC
rnacentral:rRNA from 1 species